UACGGAGGGGGCUAGCGUUGUUCGGAAUUACUGGGCGUAAAGCGCACGUAGGCGGACCAGAAAGUUGGGGGUGAAAUCCCGGGGCUCAACCCCGGAACUGCCUUCAAAACUAUUGGUCUGGAGUUCGAGAGAGGUGAGUGGAAUACCGAGUGUAGAGGUGAAAUUCGUAGAUAUUCGGUGGAACACCAGUGGCGAAGGCGGCUCACUGGCUCGAUACUGACGCUGAGGUGCGAAAGCGUGGGGAG
rnacentral:rRNA from 1 species